rnacentral:rRNA from 1 species
UCCCGCCUGCCAGUGAUUUAAUUCAACGGCCGCGGUAUCCUAACCGUGCGAAGGUAGCGUAAUCACUUGUUCUUUAAAUAAGGACUAGUAUGAACGGCCUCACGAAGGUUAUACUGUCUCCUCUUUCCAAUCAGUGAAACUAAUCUUCCCGUGAAGAAGCGGGAAUAACUUAAUAAGACGAGAAGACCCUAUGGAGCUUUAAACACAAUAUCAAGUACAACAAUAUGACAAAUUUCUGAAUGAACUAAAAUCCAGUACUAUGAAUAUCAGUUUUAGGUUGGGGUGACCGCGGAGAAAAAUAUAACCUCCACAUUGAAAGACAACCUCUAAGCUAAAAGCUACAUCUUUAAGCAUCAGUAUACUGACAUUAAUUGACCCAAUUAAAUUGAUCAACGAACCAAGUUACCCUAGGGAUAACAGCGCAAUCUACUUCAAGAGCUCCUAUCGACAAGUGGGUUUACGACCUCGAUGUUGGAUCAGGGUAUCCCAGUGGUGCAGCCGCUACUAAAGGUUUGUUUGUUCAACAUUAAAACCCUACGUGAUCUGAGU